CCUCAGUUUCUGUCCAAAUUGUGAGCUGUUGUUUUCCUUUAUGAGGACAUUAUUGCCAUUACUCACUUUAUUUUUGAUCAUUGUAAGUUGGAUCUUAGUAUGGCUGGCACACUGUGACUUCUUGCUUCUAAGAAAAAGGCCUAAAAAAAUCUCAGAAGUGUUUUGGGCCUAAAGCCACUUUCAUUAAUCAUCAUUUUGACAAUGAAGCAUAAACAGACAUGACACAUAUUUAUUAAAUUUAACGUUCAAAAUCUACAGGCGUGUUUUGGUUAUUGUUAUCAUCAUCAAUAUUAUUAUUCAUGUGGGAGAGUGUUCUAGGAGAAGAAAAGAAAGCCCUUUGCUUUCUGGGAUUUGCCUCAUAUAACCUCUCAAUCUGAAAAGUAUGUCUUCUUUGCACCACCUUUAUAGAGCUAGUCUCUGAAGGCACAACUUGAGGGUCAAAGCUCCACUACAAAGACCUACCAUUGAUGACAAUGCUGAGUCCAGGAACUGACAGGAAAUGGGUAUGUUUGGUCAUGGUCAGUAAACCCAUUUCUUUACAGACUCACUCCCCCCUCAUAUUAGAAAGCUUUGAGCUUCUUUCAUACCAUAGUUUGGCCUUGACCUUUCUAGCACUUAGCCUCCCUACAAUGGAGUCUAUGUAUCUCCAUACCCUCAUUGCAGGCCUCCUAAUUAUAGCCAUCAGUUAAACUGUCAGGAAGAAAUUCCCAGUUCAAUCACGUCUUUAUCAGACUUCAGCUGCCAAUGGGGUCAAGUUAGGCGUCAAGUCUGACCUGCCCAGAACCCCUGUGAUGUGUUGGUCUGCAUUCUCACUGGGGCCUUUGUGAGCAAGCAGGCCAGAUAGCCACCUGGUUGCGCCCAGCUAAGUUCCCUGUCCCACUGCAUUGCCCAGAGAGGGUGGAGUCAAGAGAAACAAUGGGGCUGACUUAAUAUCAGUGUAAAUGUGGCCAAGGGACUUGGGUUUUACUUUUAUUGCUGAGUCUGGUUUUCUUGAGUUUCAGUGGCGGUGCUAUGGAAACAGGCAUUUCUCAUCCACCACUGAUCGAAUCAAGUUUAGGAGGUGCGGGGAACCAAGAAAAAUGAGCAAGUGGAACACUAUUCUCCCCAAAAGCUGCCUUAAAUUGAAAUCAUCUGCCUCAUCAGAGUCCAGCCUGCCCCACUCCCCAAGCCACACCCAGGCAGCUGUGAAGGUGGGCGGGGCGUCCCUCCCUGACUGACGCGGUGGAAUGGCUGCAGUAAGGUGAUAUGCUGAGAAGAAAUUCGCUUCUGGGCUGCUUUUGUUAAGCUCCCCCCUGCACCCCUGUCAUCAGCUUUCACACUCAGCAUGAGCCUCACAUGGAAACCUGUGCGUCACUUCCCUCAAGUGCCAUACAGAUAGCAUAGGAAGUUCUAGGUGGGGCUGGUUGGGGAGCAGGGGAACUAGAUCUCACAGCACUUUCUGUGUCCCUGGAAGCCCCCCAUUAUUACCCUCUCCUCAAG
rnacentral:lncRNA from 1 species